GACGAACCGAGCGGACGUUAUUCGGAAUCACUGGGCUUAAAGGGCGCGUAGGCGGGCCAUCAAGUCAGGGGUGAAAGCCCCCAGCUCAACUGGGGAAGUGCCUCUGAUACUGGUGGCCUCGAGGGAGGUAGGGGCGUGCGGAACUUCCGGUGGAGCGGUGAAAUGCGUAGAUAUCGGAAGGAACACCGGUGGCGAAAGCGGCGCGCUGGACCUCUUCUGACGCUGAGGCGCGAAAGCCAGGGGAGCAAACGGG
rnacentral:rRNA from 1 species